AGAGUGCGAACGAGAAAGCGUAUUCCUUCUGGUUGUGGAUCGAAGGAAUCCUGGAUGUGAUUAAAAGACACCUGCUUUCCCUUUGGAAUGACGGCUCCAUCAUGGGCUUCAUCAGUAAGGAGAGGGAGAAGGCUCUGCUCAGUGAUAAGUGUCCAGUUUAUUUAAUGGAGCCCAAGGAUGUGGAGAACAAUCCAGAGAGGAGCGGCUACAUGAAGACAGAGCUCAUUUCUGUCUCUGAAGUACAUCCGUCCAGACUGCAGGACAACAUGUUGCCCAUGUCUC